rnacentral:rRNA from 1 species
ACGAACGCUGGCGGCGUGCCUCAUACAUGCAAGCUGCGCGAUGAAGAUUGGUGCUUGCACCAAUUUGAAGAGCAGCGAACGGGUGAGUAACGCGUGGGGAAUCUGCCUUUGAGCGGGGGACAACAUUUGGAAACGAAUGCUAAUACCGCAUAACAACUUUAAACAUAAGUUUUAAGUUUGAAAGAUGCAAUUGCAUCACUCAAAGAUGAUCCCGCGUUGUAUUAGCUAGUUGGUGAGGUAAAGGCUCACCAAGGCGAUGAUACAUAGCCGACCUGAGAGGGGUAGAGCCAACUUGGGGCUGGGACCCGCGCCAAAACCCCUCCGGGGGGGCCCGUGAGGGAAUUUCCGGCAAGGGACGAAAUUCUGACCGAGCAACGCCGCGGGAGUGAAAAAGGUUUUGGGAUCGUAAAACUUUUUUGGUAGAAAAAAACGUUGGGGAGAGGGGAAAGCUCAUCAAGUGACGGUAACUACCCAAAAAGGGACGGCUAACUACGU